CGAGGCGAUCAGAGCUAGGGAGGGAGCGAGCGCUAGAACGAAAAAACCAUGAGAAAAAAACCUACGAAAAAAAGCCUACAAAAAAAUCGACGACUAGCGAGCGAGGGGUUCAGAGUGCCCUCGAUCCCCAUCCAGAUCCCUUCGCCGCCGCCCUCGCUCGCACAUCAAGCGCCCUCGAUCCUGCGCCGCCGAACCUUCGCCGUCAGCGAUCCCUUCGGACUCCUCCGCCAGCCAUGCUUUACCCUCCUCUGUGUGCUGGUGGUGGUGAUGCAGCGCGUCAUCGAUCGCGAGAUCUGCAAGCCCAAGUACCGCUGCGCUUGGGCCUGUGUCGACACGGCCGCGGACGGCGGUUGCAGGACGACCGAAUGCGGCCUCCAGUACUCAACGCAAGAUCAGAUCGGCACCUGCCCGAUCCCCAUCCGAGUCCAGGGCAGGCCGUGCCGUCCGCGGUGACCGGCCAUGCUUCAGCCUUCGCCUGCUCCGGCCUGAGUCUAGGGCCGUCAGGACCACCUCCCAGCCGUUCGACGGUUUGCCUGACUCGCUUCCAGCAUGUAUGUAUGAUCGGUCAUACCCCGCUGCCUUCCUCUUCACCGGAGCCAAGUAUGUAUGAUCUAUCAUUGUACAUUAGCUAGCUAGGAGAUGUCAUGUUCGUGCUUUUUGUCAUCUUCCUGAACACGCAUCUGAAUGUUUGUGCAUUGGAAUUGCGGGUCUUUCGGAUUAACUGUUCCAUGCUACGGCCUUAGUUUUUAAUUUGACUGACUAUCUACAAUUCUACACAUGCUCUCCAAGAUUGUUCCUGUGAGUUUCUUUAAAACCUAUUUGCACACCUAGCUAGAUCAUACAGCUGAUAACGUAUGGAGUUUUUUUUUUGAGAUCUGUUUAUCUCAGGGCUCUGACACGCUGGUUCCAUUUAAACAGUUUUUAGAGCUAGCAUUUUUCUGUUUUUUAUAUGGAUGAUAUGCAAAAGUAUUUAACACUGCAUUUUUUUAACCCAUAACUUGGUUGUGUUAAUUAAUAGUACAAACUACAUUGGACUUGUAUGUGGAUUUGAUUUGGACUUUCUGUACAUAGUCGGCUAAACGGUAUUACUUCUAAUCAUCAGUAACUUGUAUGUGGAUUUGAUUUGGACUUUCUGUACAUAAUUUUUUAAUAAAAAACACAUAUUAACUUAGUUAUCUAAAGUAAUUCCUUUUCAUUUAUAUAACCUUAUGACUUAGAUACACAGUUCUUGUGGCACCAGCGGCCAACUGGGAUAACAAACAAACCAGUGCAUGACAAUCUGAAGAGCCAGCAGGGGAAGUGAGUCACCUAUGAGAUAUGCACAACAGCACAACCCUCAGGCAGAAAACUAUCCCCCCAUUGGUGGUUAGCUGAUCUCAGUAUCUUAUGUACUGCAUGAAACUUAUAGGGAAGCUCAUGUGAAAUAUGACUUUAGACAGCCUGUGUACAUGGUCAGCAAGCCACCUACGGGAGCACUGUUUUCCUGUAGUAUAUUUUCUUUGUAUUAAUAUGAACUGCAGAUCUCUUUUUUUGUUGAUAUCUUCGCUGGCGUAAUGCAUCUGAUCGGUAAGCAUUAGGAUUCAUUCAUUGUCUUUCUUUUGCUGGUUUUAGCGAAGGUGUAUUCAUGUGAGCCGAUCGAAUUCCUUCCUUUUCUUGCCUUCAACUAUCUGAUGCAUGUUGCUUAUGGUUUUUUAGUCAUCAAUUUACCUUUCCGUGCAAAAACAUAUGUACCUUUGCCAUUUCUUUUGCAGAUACUGGUGAUGAGCUCAACAACAGCAUCAUUGUUGGUAAAUACCAUCAGCACUUACAGUCUACUCCACCUACAAAGAGCUAUGGCAAGGUGCACACUUUAGUGAUGAGCUGGGAAGAGAAUGAAGUUUCUUUUUUAUCUUGUCUGGUCGUAGAUCGAGUGACAUGAAGGAUGCUGGCUGUUGGUGCUCGUUCAACAGGAUCAUCUGAAUAAUGUUUUUCCAACACAUUCUGAUGUCUUCUCAAUUGUGCACCGGGCUCUUCUUUUAGCCAAGGACUUCUGAUAAAUAAUAAUCUAGGCAAUAGUUGAAUCCCAAGGACCCAUUGAAUUUAGAAAUGGACUCUUAUGAUGUCUGACCCCAGAAAUUCCAAUAAGCAGAGACGAUGUUUUAUUUUCUUUGUCGGUGACACAACCAAAGGGAACAUAUGAUAUUGUUACAUGCAAACUAAAAGAUAUAGCAGGAAAUGGCAAACCAGAAGGAUGAGUUAGCCGAAAAGUUUCUAGCUGAUUACCGAGGUACUACUCAACCAUAAAUCUGUAGGAAUUUCUGUUGUUUUGCGAGCAGAGAGUGGAUACUUAUAAGGAGGAAGUUGAAGGUAACUUUGAAAUAUAUAUCAACCAUUGCUCUAUUUUGUUUUUUCUGUGGUUAGGACCAUAUUUUGACCAUAAAAUCACACAAAAUGGUUUUGUUCCCUCCUUGCAUUUUCCUCUGUUUCCUUUUACUUCUGCCGCAAAACGAUUUCUACACAUAGCUAUGUGUGGAUGAAAUUUCCUAUGCCUUUUUAUUCUGUAUGAUGAGCUUCUCUCACCUUACCCACACUACUAAAUAUUUUGUUUUGCUAUAUCAUAUGAAUUGAGCAGGAAAUGCUUCCUUCACUUGCACCUUUUGUUUGAUGUUGGUUGUCUGUCAAUUUUUUUUGUACAUUACUAAGGAUACACUUCGACUUACCAUUAUUUUUUCUUUCCUCAUGUUAUUUUGAAGCGAUGCCAACGCUUGCAAAGGAAGUGACUUUAGCUGCAACUAGCAAGAUGUUGACUAAUUCACCUUCUGUCGCUGCUCCUGCCAAAGCUUGCUUCUCUUUUGGUAGCAAGAGAAGUCUCAAGGUCGAAUUUUGGGGCCGGGAAGCACUAGGUUCUCUGGUGGCCUACCACUAAGUAUCAAAGGCAUUUUCAUAUGGUUUUUUCCCGUCUGUAAGAUGGCAAUUCCAUUUACCAACCGUAAGGUAUGGUGCUUUCUUAAUUGAUGUAAAUGAAGGUAGCUCAAGAAUAUCUCAAUUCGCAUCAUGCAUUAGUACUCCAUAGUGUGUAUAUGUGUACUUGUAUUGAGAAUUUAGCUGGUACUCCCUCCCUCCGUCUUAUAUUGUGGGACGAAGUAGUAUUUAUUUAGAACAUGUUAUACAAAAAAGAGUGGCGUUAGAUGGUGUACUAUUUAUUUUGGUUGUCCCAAACAAACUCUGCGCUAUAUCAUUCUUUCUGCUACUCAGGGCCUCUUUGAUUCAAAGAAUUUUUCUACUACAAUUAGGACAACAUUGGUCUUCAUCUUGUUGGACACCCCCGUUUGGCGUCUGUUUGAUGUCCAUCCGGACAUACGAGCAAGAAAUGAGUUUCGACCUUAAAGAUGAUCUUAUUCAUUUGUUCGAUUCAUAUUUAUGUAUUAUAGCCCGUAGCAACGCACGGGCGUUCUACUAUAUGAGAUAGUGCAUCACUGAGCCAGGUACAUCUGCUUCAUUUUACAUGACUCGACUUACUUGCUUUACAAAAAUAUUGCAGCAGAAAUAUUUUCCUUUGACUAUGGCUUCAUAGAUCUCUCUGAAUCUUAGGUUUCAUGUUACUCACAACUGUUUUUAUCAAUGGUGUAACUUAGGUUUGAAGAUUAUUUCUCCAACGAUGUGGAGCCGCUGACGCUUACUCUCCCUGAAGACUCAGUGGCCAGCUCAGGCAUUUGUCCCAGCUAUGCUGCUUCCCAUCAAACUCGAGCUCAGCGCUCCGUCUGCACUCGAGCACAGCUGUCGGCCAUCAGCUCGCUCGAGCAAACACCCUGGCCGUCCGCACACGAUCUCCUCCCAGCCUUCUGACGUGUUAUUUUUGCAUGGAAGGCUAAGCUAUCUCCACCGGCUCCUUUUUCUGUUCGAGCUCCUCCCUACCCUGGCAAAACCAAAUGCUACCAUCUCCUUUCCUUGGCAUGCUAAAACUUAUGUCAGUUCAUUGUCAUGGAUAGAUUAGUGAGAAUGAGAUUGGGAUCUUUACACUACAGAGGACGAGGAGCUAUAUGGGCUACGACAUGUUGCUUGAGGUGUGGUUCUGGGACCUGCUGUUGUUCAAAUUAUAGUUCCCUUAUUUAGAACUAGGCAUUCCCACUGAUACUGACCAUACUUGGAGCAUUUCCAGCAGUGGCAGUAGACACAUGUGGCACCACUUCUUGGUAGAUUUUGUCCAUUUACUUUUUGUAUCCUUUGAAUUAGAAUAUUCUCUGCAAGAUUUGAGUUUGAAUCUGGUCAAAUUAUUCUUGUACUCUUUGAAUUUAAAUAAUGUCUCGUAUCUUACUAAA